CCUACGGGUGGCAGCAGUGGGGAAUAUUGCACAAUGGGCGCAAGCCUGAUGCAGCCAUGCCGCGUGUGUGAAGAAGGCCUUCGGGUUGUAAAGCACUUUCAGCGGGGAGGAAGGCGUUAAGGUUAAUAACCUUGUCGAUUGACGUUACCCGCAGAAGAAGCACCGGCUAACUCCGUGCCAGCAGCCGUGGUAAUACGGAGGGUGCAAGCGUUAAUCGGAAUUACUGGGCGUAAAGCGCACGCAGGCGGUCUGUCAAGUCGGAUGUGAAAUCCCCGGGCUCAACCUGGGAACUGCAUUCGAAACUGGCAGGCUAGCGUCUUGUAGAGGGGGGUAGAAUUCCAGGUGUAGCGGUGAAAUGCGUAGAGAUCUGGAGGAAUACCGGUGGCGAAGGCGGCCCCCUGGACAAAGACUGACGCUCAGGUGCGAAAGCGUGGGGAGCAAACAGGAUUAGAUACCCCAGUAGUC
rnacentral:rRNA from 1 species